CCUACGGGUGGCAGCAGUGAGGAAUAUUGGUCAAUGGACGAGAGUCUGAACCAGCCAAGUAGCGUGAAGGAUGACUGCCCUAUGGGUUGUAAACUUCUUUUAUAUGGGAAUAAAAUGUUCCACGUGUGGGAUUUUGUAUGUACCAUAUGAAUACGGAUCGGCUAACUCCGUGCCAGCAGCCGCGGUAAUACGGAGGAUCCGAGCGUUAUCCGGAUUUAUUGGGUUUAAAGGGAGCGUAGGUGGAUUGUUAAGUCAGUUGUGAAAGUUUGCGGCUCAACCGUAAAAUUGCAGUUGAAACUGGCAGUCUUGAGUACAGUAGAGGUGAGCGGAAUUCGUGGUGUAGCGGUGAAAUGCUUAGAUAUCACGAAGAACUCCGAUUGCGAAGGCAGUUCACUGGACUGCAACUGACACUGAGGCUCGAAAGUGUGGGUAUCAAACAGGAUUAGAGACCCCAGUAGUC
rnacentral:rRNA from 1 species